rnacentral:rRNA from 2 species
AGAGUUUGAUCCUGGCUCAGGACGAACGCUGGCGGCGUGCCUAAUACAUGCAAGUCGAACGAACUCUGGUAUUGAUUGGUGCUUGCAUCAUGAUUUACAUUUGAGUGAGUGGCGAACUGGUGAGUAACACGUGGGAAACCUGCCCAGAAGCGGGGGAUAACACCUGGAAACAGAUGCUAAUACCGCAUAACAACUUGGACCGCAUGGUCCGAGUUUGAAAGAUGGCUUCGGCUAUCACUUUUGGAUGGUCCCGCGGCGUAUUAGCUAGAUGGUGAGGUAACGGCUCACCAUGGCAAUGAUACGUAGCCGACCUGAGAGGGUAAUCGGCCACAUUGGGACUGAGACACGGCCCAAACUCCUACGGGAGGCAGCAGUAGGGAAUCUUCCACAAUGGACGAAAGUCUGAUGGAGCAACGCCGCGUGAGUGAAGAAGGGUUUCGGCUCGUAAAACUCUGUUGUUAAAGAAGAACAUAUCUGAGAGUAACUGUUCAGGUAUUGACGGUAUUUAACCAGAAAGCCACGGCUAACUACGUGCCAGCAGCCGCGGUAAUACGUAGGUGGCAAGCGUUGUCCGGAUUUAUUGGGCGUAAAGCGAGCGCAGGCGGUUUUUUAAGUCUGAUGUGAAAGCCUUCGGCUCAACCGAAGAAGUGCAUCGGAAACUGGGAAACUUGAGUGCAGAAGAGGACAGUGGAACUCCAUGUGUAGCGGUGAAAUGCGUAGAUAUAUGGAAGAACACCAGUGGCGAAAGCGGCUGUCUGGUCUGUAACUGACGCUGAGGCUCGAAAGUAUGGGUAGCAAACAGGAUUAGAUACCCUGGUAGUCCAUACCGUAAACGAUGAAUGCUAAGUGUUGGAGGGUUUCCGCCCUUCAGUGCUGCAGCUAACGCAUUAAGCAUUCCGCCUGGGGAGUACGGCCGCAAGGCUGAAACUCAAAGGAAUUGACGGGGGCCCGCACAAGCGGUGGAGCAUGUGGUUUAAUUCGAAGCUACGCGAAGAACCUUACCAGGUCUUGACAUACUAUGCAAAUCUAAGAGAUUAGACGUUCCCUUCGGGGACAUGGAUACAGGUGGUGCAUGGUUGUCGUCAGCUCGUGUCGUGAGAUGUUGGGUUAAGUCCCGCAACGAGCGCAACCCUUAUUAUCAGUUGCCAGCAUUAAGUUGGGCACUCUGGUGAGACUGCCGGUGACAAACCGGAGGAAGGUGGGGAUGACGUCAAAUCAUCAUGCCCCUUAUGACCUGGGCUACACACGUGCUACAAUGGAUGGUACAACGAGUUGCGAACUCGCGAGAGUAAGCUAAUCUCUUAAAGCCAUUCUCAGUUCGGAUUGUAGGCUGCAACUCGCCUACAUGAAGUCGGAAUCGCUAGUAAUCGCGGAUCAGCAUGCCGCGGUGAAUACGUUCCCGGGCCUUGUACACACCGCCCGUCACACCAUGAGAGUUUGUAACACCCAAAGUCGGUGGGGUAACCUUUUAGGAACCAGCCGCCUAAGGUGGGACAGAUGAUUAGGGUGAAGUCGUAACAAGGUAACCGUA